GCUCCCCGUCAGGCUCAGGAGAGGUCGGAGGGUCCGGAGGCUGCGCGGUUGCUCGCCGCGCCGGUCGCCCGGAGGCCCGCCGACCGAUCUGCACUUCUGCGGGGAGCCGGCCAACGGCGGUGGCUCCCGGCCCAAGAGGGCGCCGUCUUGGGGAGGUAGCUCCGCGCUCGCGUGGAGAACUUACAGCCCGGCGCCUGGACGCUCCGGGGCCCACCGAGGAGAGUUGCGAGAGUCCUCGCACGUGCAGCGCAGGCCCCCCGCCCCGGCGGGAGGCUGGGCCGCUCCCGUCCGCCGGGCGGCCGCGGUGGUCACUGCGUGCAGUGGCCCGCCGACGGUCCCGUGCGGCAGGGGGGAGGCCGGUCGCACCUUGCGCUGCGGUCGUUGGUGCCCGAAUGGCCGCAUCCGACCCGUCUUG
rnacentral:sRNA from 1 species